AGAAGGAUUGGAAUCUCGUGGGCUUUUGCAUAGACUGUAGUAUAAUAUCUUAUGCGGCGAGAGAUUUUGUGAGAUUACCCGUGAUGCAUCUGGGAAAUGCUAAACAUGCCUUGAUUAAUGGCGGACAUUUCAUCACCUAAACAAACUGACACCCGAUAAACACAUGGAGAGACCCGGUCCGUCACCUUGUUCUAGCUACACCAUUCUUAUGAAUCUGUUCGGUCCUUAUUCUUUUACUAGCAAGUUUGGUUCCUGUAAUCAAAAAGAAACGUUCUAUUUUGACUGUCUGUAAGUUGACAUCAUCCGCAAUUUCUAUGACCGCAGGUAUUAUGCUUGCCUAUGCACUGAACCAGUACAGGAAACACUAUAAAACAUUGAUGGAAUUUGACCCAUUCUUUGGGUAUCCGGAUGAAGAUUAUUUGACAACCGGAUUCUUCCUGGCUACAGCCGCAUGUGCUUUAUACUUUGUCACAGUCCUUGUAAAUAUUAUUAGUGUUUUGUUACCUGUGAAAUCAGAGACAGUUGUUGGUCCAUUUUAGAAGUAUACCAUGAACAUAAACGUAUUAUUGCAACUGAUUAAAUCGUUUAAUAUUUAAUU